rnacentral:sRNA from 1 species
UGCAGAUUGUCCUUGAGGCUGACGCAAGC